rnacentral:rRNA from 1 species
AGAGUUUGAUCCUGGCUCAGGACGAACGCUGGCGGCGCGCCUAACACAUGCAAGUCGAACGGAGCUUAGAGAGCUUGCUUUUUAAGCUUAGUGGCGAACGGGUGAGUAACGCGUGAGUAACCUGCCCUAGAGUGGGGGACAACAGUUGGAAACGACUGCUAAUACCGCAUAAGCCCACGGUACCGCAUGGUACUGAGGGAAAAGGAUUUAUUCGCUUUAGGAUGGACUCGCGUCCAAUUAGCUAGUUGGUGAGGUAACGGCCCACCAAGGCGACGAUUGGUAGCCGGACUGAGAGGUUGAACGGCCACAUUGGGACUGAGACACGGCCCAGACUCCUACGGGAGGCAGCAGUGGGGGAUAUUGCACAAUGGGGGAAACCCUGAUGCAGCGACGCCGCGUGGAGGAAGAAGGUUUUCGGAUUGUAAACUCCUGUCGUUAGGGACGAUAAUGACGGUACCUAACAAGAAAGCACCGGCUAACUACGUGCCAGCAGCCGCGGUAAAACGUAGGGUGCAAGCGUUGUCCGGAAUUACUGGGUGUAAAGGGAGCGCAGGCGGGAAGACAAGUUGGAAGUGAAAUCCAUGGGCUCAACCCAUAAACUGCUUUCAAAACUGUUUUUCUUGAGUAGUGCAGAGGUAGGCGGAAUUCCCGGUGUAGCGGUGGAAUGCGUAGAUAUCGGGAGGAACACCAGUGGCGAAGGCGGCCUACUGGGCACCAACUGACGCUGAGGCUCGAAAGCAUGGGUAGCAAACAGGAUUAGAUACCCUGGUAGUCCAUGCCGUAAACGAUGAUUACUAGGUGUUGGAGGAUUGACCCCUUCAGUGCCGCAGUUAACACAAUAAGUAAUCCACCUGGGGAGUACGACCGCAAGGUUGAAACUCAAAGGAAUUGACGGGGGCCCGCACAAGCAGUGGAGUAUGUGGUUUAAUUCGAAGCAACGCGAAGAACCUUACCAGGUCUUGACAUCCAACUAACGAAGUAGAGAUACAUUAGGUGCCCUUCGGGGAAAGUUGAGACAGGUGGUGCAUGGUUGUCGUCAGCUCGUGUCGUGAGAUGUUGGGUUAAGU